rnacentral:rRNA from 1 species
AUUGAACGCUGGCGGCAUGCUUUACACAUGCAAGUCGAACGGUAACAGGCCUUCGGGUGCUGACGAGUGGCGAACGGGUGAGUAAUGCAUCGGAACGUGCCCAGAGGUGGGGGAUAACGCAGCGAAAGCUGCGCUAAUACCGCAUGUGAUCUGAGGAUGAAAGCGGGGGACCAGGCAGCAAUGUUUGGCCUCGCGCCUUUGGAGCGGCCGAUGUCAGAUUAGGUAGUUGGUGGGGUAAAGGCCUACCAAGCCGACGAUCUGUAGCUGGUCUGAGAGGACGACCAGCCACACUGGGACUGAGACACGGCCCAGACUCCUACGGGGGGCAGCAGUGGGGAAUUUUGGACAAUGGGCGCAAGCCUGAUCCAGCAAUGCCGCGUGCGGGAAGAAGGCCUUCGGGUUGUAAACCGCUUUUGUACGGAACGAAAAGGCUCUGGCUAAUACCUGGGGCUGAUGACGGUACCGUAAGAAUAAGCACCGGCUAACUACGUG